rnacentral:lncRNA from 1 species
GACAUUGAUAGUUGAUAACUACCAAAACCAAGGUCAGGACAUGGGGAAAUAUAUCAUUCUGUUUAUUUUGAUAUGUUCAAAAUUUUCCAUCAUAAAAACUAAGUAUUAUCAAAUUCUUAGUCAUGUGUUGUAUUAGGGUAAUUAAAAUACAAAUUAGUAGUGAGUUUGAGGCCAGAUUGCUCAUCAUCCUGGCCCAGUGCAAAAAGCAAAUCUGAUCAUGUUCCCUCCCUUCUUAACAAUGUUAACAAACUUUCCAUUCUUCACCCUGAAGAAUAGUGUGAAUUCCUCAGAGUGGCUUUGGUAUGAAGAAACUUCAUACCAUAGAUAUAUGUGCAAAGCAGUGUGCAGAAUUCUGUUAGUUAUAUUAUUUAUUUAGACUGAGACCAUCUCUAUGAAGGUUUUAUAGAUAAAAGUGUAUAUCAAUGAAGGGACUCAAAACUAGAUGGAUAGUGACAGGGCCUACAGAAAGUUCAAAUUUUGGAUUCCUUCAGCUUUUUCCUACUUCGAUUGUGAUAGAAAGAGCUCUAAGAUUCUGACUCCUGGAGUCCCCAACCUGUUAUAAUGUCCUCCCCUUGAAUGUGGGCAGAGUAAGUGAAUAUGGUGGGAUAUCACUGACUACUAAUCAUGUGACUUUGAGUUCAUCAAAAGGGGGGAUGAUCCUGGGUGGGCAUGACCUAAUCAGAUGAGUGCUUUAAGGGAAGCGGAAAUGGGAUAGGGAAGCUCUUCUGUUGGCCUCAGAAUGAAGCAAACUGGCAUGUUCUGACAGGGCCUAUGGAGGGGCUGUGUGGGUGACUUCUAGGACUUAGAGGGGUCUCCAGUUAACAGCUAGUUAGAAAUAAUUUUCCCAAUUGCACAGCUUCAGAUAACUGAAUUCUGCCAAUCACCAUGUGAGCUUGAAAGAGGUCCCUGAGCCUCAAACGAGAUUAUAACCCCAGCCAACUCCAUGAUUUCAGCCCAAUGAGACUAUGAACAGAGGACCCAGUUAACCCAUACCCAGACCCAUAAAAGUCUUCAGAUAAUACCUACGUGUUUGUGAUGAUUAAUACUGAGUGUCAACUAGAUUGGACUGAAGGAUGCAAAGUAUUGAUCCUGGGUGUGUCUAUCAGGGUGUUGCCAAAGGAGAUUAACAUUUGAGUCAGUGGGCUGAGAAAGGCAGACCCGCCCUUAAUCUGAGUGGACACCAUCUAAUCAGCCACCAGCCCAGCUGGAAUAUAAAGCAGGCAGAAAAACGUGAAAAGACUGGCCUAGCCUCCCAGCCUACAUCUUUCUCCCAUGCUGGAUGCUUCCUGCCCUCAAACACUGGACUCCAGGUUCUUGUUUUGGGACUUGGACUGGCUCUCCUUGCUCCUCAGCUUACAGAUGCCUAUUGUAGGACCUUGUGAUAGUGUGAGUUAAUACUUAAUAAACUCCCCUUUAUCUAUCUAUCUCUCUCUCUCUCUCUCGUUAGUUCUGUCCCUCUAGAAAACCCUAACUAAUACAGUGUUGUUUUGAGCUACCAAGUUUGUGAUCACUCAUUAUGCAGCAGUCAAAAAUGAAUAUGCCCCUUCUCUCCCUAUUUCUCUCAAUGUUCCAGUCACUCUGAACUUUUCUUAGUUUCCUAAUUAAAACAUUCCUUCCAUAAAUUUUGUUCUGCAAGAACUACUCACUUUGCCUGUAAUGUCCUUAUUAUCUUUUCUGCCAUUUGAUUAUUUUUUAACUUUUAUUUUAGGUUCAGGAGUACAUGUGCAGGUUUGUUAUAUAGGUAAACUUGUGUCACAGGAGUUUGUUUUGCAGAUUAUUUUCUCACCCAGAUACUAAGCCUAGUAUGCAAUAGUUAUUUUCUCUGCUCUUCUCCCACCUCUCACCCUCAACCCGCAAGUAGGCCUCAGUGUCUGUUGUUUCCUUCUUUGUACGUCCAUGAGUUCUCAUCAUUUAGCUCCUACUUAUAAGUGAAACAUAUGGUAUUUGAUUUUCUGUUCCUGCAUUAGUUUGCUAAGGAUAAUGGCCUCCAGCUCCAUUCAUGUUCCUGCAAAAGACAUGAUCUCAUUCGUUUUUAUGGCUGCAUAGUAUUCAAUGGUGUAUAUGUAUCACAUUUUCUUUAUCCAAUCUGUCACUGAUGGGCAUUUAGGCUGAUCCCAUGCCUUUGCUAUUGUCAAUAGUGCUGCAAUGAACAUUCACGUGCAUGGGUCUUCAAGGCAGAAUGAUUUAUAUUCCUCUGGAUAUAUAGCCAGUAAUGGGAUUACUGGGUCAAAUGGUAGUUCUGUUUUUAGCUCUUUGAGGAAUCACCAUGCUAAUUUUUUCAAUGGUUGAAGUAAUUUACACUCCCAUUAACUGCCUGUUGAGUAUUACCCAUCCUUCAGAACCCAGAUCAACUCUUCCUCUCCUGGAAGACUUGACCAAUUGCCCCAGGCAAAGUUUAUUCCUCCCUGCUCUAGAUUUCCACCAUACCCUGUUCUUUCUCUCCCUUCCUUCCUCUCUCUAUUUCUCUUAAUAGCAUAUAAAUGAGUUGAAAGCAGAAACUCAUAAUAUUCAUGCUCAAGUCACUUUGAACUAGGAUAUAAUUAUGCUUACAACAUAGUAGCCACUCAGUAAAUAGCUACUGGGUUAAUACACAUACUGUUUUUCAUUAGAAUGCUUCUGGAAUUUAUUUAAGUUAACAAAUAUUUAUUUUUCAGAGCCUCUGAAAGCUGUAAUGGACAAUAAGAAGAUGAGUAGGGCAUGUUUCCUAUCUCAAAUAAGUGGAAUAGGAUUUGCACAGAAAAAAUAACUGCAAGGCAAAAUACGACCUGUGUCACAUAAGAAACAGAAUCUGGUCUGUUGGGGGCUUCUCAGAGACAAAGAGAUGAUGGUCCACAGGAUGGAGCAUCUCUCUGACACUUCCAGUAGCUGUAUGGUGAGCAUUCCUCUCCCAGCAAUCUGUUGUUCUUUGUGAGCAGACUGGAGUGUGACAGCUGUGAAAACGAUCAAAGGCAGGUCCCAGACAGGAGAGGGCUGAUGACAAUGCCAGUUUCCCUCUAAGACCCUGUGGACAGCAGGGCCAUGAGGGAUGCUGUGACACAGAGUCUUGCUUGAUGCAGUGUGUGGUGUUACUCACAGGAGUGGGUUCAGCCACUCUUGGUGUGAAACCCAAGGAAAAUGUCUCUGCCGCAGCUGAUGUCAACAUGUACAGCAUGUGACCAGCUUGCAUUAAAGGAGAUGUGUGUAUGAGUUCUGCAGAAGUCCACCAAAUGUGGGCCAGGGUUAUUUCCCUGGUGAUGCUCUGAAGCUUUUGCCAAAGGACAAAUGGAAACAGGAAGUACAAUCAUGCACUGGGGUAAAGAAGAUUCAUCUGCUCUUAGCUACCUACCAUGCCAACACUCCUGAGAAAGCUCACAGAGGCCCAUGAUGCCCACCUGGAUCUGAGGACCUAGAAAGCCACAACAGGCAACCAUAAUCUGGGUCUUCCCUCAGCCAACUCCCCUGCAUAAAGUGAAUGAAUGAAAAACCCAUCUUAUAUUAAUCAGAGUUCUCUAGAGAAAAAGAACCAAUCAGAUGUGUAUAUAUAGAAAGAGAGAAUUAUUUUAGGGAAUUAGCUCACAUCAUUAUGCAGGCUGGUCAAUCAAAAAUCUGUGGAGUGGGCUAGCAGGCUGGAGACCCAGGGAAAGGCUAAAUUGCAGUUUAGAUCAGAAGGUCAUCUACUGGCAGAAUUCCCUCAUCUUCCAGGAAGGUGGAUCUUUUUCUACCAAGGCCUUCAGUUUAUUAGAUUAGGCCCAUGAACAUGCUGGAGGGUAAUCUGCUUUACUCAAUACAUACUGAUUUGAAUGUUAGUAUCAUCAAAAAGACCUUCACAGAAACAUCUAAAAUAAUGUUUGACCAAAUGUCUGCAUACCAUGGCCAAGCCAAGUUUACACAUAAAAUUAAUUAUCACACAUCCCACGAACACCAUCCCCAACAGAUGCUCAUGAGCAUUGUGGUUAUGAUUUCAACUUCAGAAUAAGGCAGAAAUGUGUACAAAUCCUGACCCUUUGACUUAUCAGCUCUCUAAAAAUCAUUAUAUGUCAACUUUCUAGACUUUACCUGAAAAACAGAAACCAAGAUACCCACAGCAUAAGAUUGUUAGGAUUGAAGAAAUUGUUACGAUUGUUAGGUAUGAAGAAAUUUAAACAAUGAUGCAGCUGAGAUAUUUAGAAUUGUACCUGGCAUGUACUUUGUAUUAAAUAACUAAUAAGGCCUUUUUCUGGUGAAAACAAAAUAAGCCUGGAUAAAAGAAGAUGAGACCAGAUUGGUUGAUGGCUCGGCCUGGGUGGGCUCCUGGCCCAUCUGAAAUUACAUUACUCUUAUGUAGUGCCUUUUUUGUUAUUGCUAAAAUAAAAUAAAUAAAACACUCUACUUUCAUACUUUGUAAAAUGCACUUCUCAUUCAGUUCCUCUUCCUGUGCCUUUUCCCUAUUGUCUAUCUGCACACAGCUGUUUUCUUCUGCACAUUUUCAUCACAGAGAAUUACCAGGUGUAGGUCAAAAGAUGCCACAGAGAUAACAAAGGAAAGGAAAAGCUUUUCUGCACUUCUAUCCUUGUAAGCACAAAAAUUAAUCACACUUUCAGUAAACAGGUCAGGUAAGUCAGUCCUGCACUUGAACCUUUUCUCCCCAAAUAAAUAGUUGAAAUGGGAAUGUCGAUUUCUGUAUUUGAACAGAAAUGUAUUAGUGUAGCUUUCAAAAGAAGACUACUCUCUCCAUAUGAAUAUCAUCAGACCCACAAAUACACAUAUGCAUACAUUCACAGUUCAUCCUAACGCUGCAGAAUAUUCUAAGAGUAACACAUUUCUGUACAAAUCAAGCAGCAGCUUUCACUUGCAUGCUAAUCUUCAAAUUAAUUCUGCAAUGAUCCAUUCAUUCCACAUCCCAACCUACAUCCUCAGAAAAACAAAGAUGUAAGUAAGGAACUCAGUAUAACAUGUUUGACUUUAGACACUACUCAAAUAUACUCAAACUUUAUAUGAAUAUGGAUAUUGCUCCUAGAUUAGGCAGUUCAGAAAACAAAUCUUGAUUAUUCUUAGUUACAAUGUAGUAUAAAAUAACAACAAUUUCAUGUCAACAACAGAAUCUCCUAAAAGAUCUUAUAAAGAUAAAAAGUCUUAGGUGUUAGUCGUCAAAGACUAAGUUGUAAAUGUAUCAUUGUAUUUGUGUAGUUAAUAAAACCCUAGACAAGAUAUGGGUUCCAGUUCUUGAACCACCACCACCUGUUCACCUUAAAUAAGUCAACUAAC